CUAAGGGUAUUCCACAACCCGCUAAUGAUCUCACUCACAAACGAGUGCAUAGGGGAUUCCAGGCUGUUUCUAUUUUAGGAUUCUAUGCUUGCAUUUUACAACAGGUGUUUUAGAAUGUAGAAUGGUUAAGGAAUAAAGCACAGAUGUUGCUCUAACUGUA